CUUCAGCGAACCCAGCCACAGCGGCCGGUCGGCGGAGCGUCCCUGACCGUACGUGGCGAGCAGCGCCUGCGCCUC
rnacentral:antisense_RNA from 1 species